rnacentral:pre_miRNA from 1 species
GAUUUCAAUUGAAAAAGUUAUCAACAACAAAGUUGUAUAACUCAUCAAGAUCUAUAACUUUUAUUUUGGUUGUUUCUUCAUCCGACAAAGUGAUAGUAACAUUGUUUACAAAAUUUACAUCCCUCAUCUGGUUCUAUAAACUAUAAGAGAGAGAUGUAAACUUUGUGAACAAUUUUACUAUCAUUUUAUCGGAUGAAGAAAUGACCAAAAUAAAAGUUGUGUGUCUUGAUGAGCUCUACAACUUUUAUGUUCAUGAAUUUUUCAGCUAAAAUU